UGGGGGGUCAGUACUGGACGGUUUCCCUCGGAGGGAUGCCCGCUGCUUUCUGGAACAUUCCCUCAGCCUGCCACACGCAGCCCAUCCUCCAGCCGGUAACCAAGGGCGACCGGAUGCGGCCUACCGGGUCGUAACUGACAGUCUGGGUUCAAGACAGACUGGUCGAAGGGAAGGCAUGGACUCUCCUGUUCAAGAAGGUGUGGUUAGGUAAAUGAACCGAGUAAAACAAUAGAUUUAACUGGAAGAGAAACUUCUAUUCAACCUACACAACCCUAACCCUCAUCCUAUCGCAGGAUUCCACAUUUGGGUUAGUAGUUGCUGGAGAUACCUGCUGCUGUGGGGAAUGGUCCUAUUGGAAGACACAGAAAGGGUCAAAUGUCAUCUGGGGACCAAAGAAUCAUCAUCCCUAAUUAUUCCAGAUAUUGUUCACCUACCCAGCCCACCUCCAGGGAGUGCUGCUGAUCGCUCUCUUUCUGUCUGUCUCUCUCUCUCCCGACUUCCUGUGAACAAGGAGCCACAUCAUCUGGGAAGCCAAAUGGGAUCACAGAGAGAAAAAAAACAACAAGAGCGCAAUUUUUGUCUUCUCUUCUGCCACACAGACAUUGAGAAAAUCUCCAUUUGUGCAAUGGGAAUGAUCACUGGCAUGCUAAAAGCAGACCUGGACUCUGGCUCAGUGUCAAUACAAAACCUAUAGUUGCAUGACCUGGCAUCACCUCAAGAGUAAUUAGGGAUGAGCAAAUGGCAGCAACGCCCAUGUUCUGUAAAAAAACAAAACACAAAUCAGCACAAACUUCCAACACACUGCUCAAGUACAGACAGCCCAAAACUUCAGUCUCUUCGAAAAAGUUCUGUCAAUCAAGAAAUUAAACUUGGUUUUUUUGAGAAUAUCUUUCAUUGUUGCCUUAAUCUUGUCAAAUUUUGUAAACAACAUUUAUGUAGCAUUUU